ACGUAGGUGGCAAGCGUUGUCCGGAUUUAUUGGGUUUAAAGGGUGCGUAGGCGGUUUCCUAAGUCAGUUGUGAAAUACGGCAGCUUAACUGUCGAGGUGCAAUUGAUACUGGGAAACUUGAGUACUGAUGAGGUAUGCGGAAUGGACGGUGUAGCGGUGAAAUGCUUAGAUAUCGUCCAGAACACCGAUAGCGAAGGCAGCAUACUAAGGAGUAACUGACGCUGAGGCACGAAAGUGUGGGGAUCAAACAGGA
rnacentral:rRNA from 1 species